rnacentral:rRNA from 1 species
UGUGGUUAUUAUAGCAAAGAGGAUACACCUGUUCCUAUUCCGAACACAGAAGUUAAGCUCUUUAGCGCCGAUGGUACUUGGUGGGAAGCUGCCUGGGAGAGUAGGACGUAGCCGCGU